GGUUCAGGAUGAACGCUAGCGACAGGCCUAACACAUGCAAGUCAGGGGCAGCACAAGGAGCAAUCUGAGGUGGCGACCGGCGCACGGGUGAGUAACACGUAUGCAACCUGCCUGUAAGCGGGGAAUAACCCGUUGAAAGACGGACUAAUACCGCAUAAUACUAAAUUACUGCAUGGUAAUUUAUUUAAACAUUUAUGGCUUACAGAUGGGCAUGCGCAUGAUUAGCUAGUUGGAGAGGUAACGGCUCCCCAAGGCAACGAUCAUUAGGGGUUCUGAGAGGAAGGUCCCCCCACACUGGUACUGAGACACGGACCAGACUCCUACGGGAGGCAGCAGUGAGGAAUAUUGGUCAAUGGACGAGAGUCUGAACCAGCCAAGUCGCGUGCAGGAAGAAUGUCCUAUGGAUUGUAAACUGCUUUUGCAGGGGAAUAAAGUGCAUCACGUGUGAUGUUUUGUAUGUACUCUGCGAAUAAGGAUCGGCUAACUCCGUGCCAGCCGCGGC
rnacentral:rRNA from 1 species